rnacentral:lncRNA from 1 species
CGACCACCGUGCCCUGUUUCGCGAGCCCUCACUUCGAGUUUAGAGUAGAGAACUGUCGGAGAACUGCGGGUGAAGCCAUGCAGGGGAGUGUUUAGGAUCGUCUACGCAGGAGCGCUGACAAAAUUGUUGAAAUAUCCACGGAUUUUCUUAUCCCCGCAUAAAACAGCAAUACUAGAGUGGGGUUAUGGUUGUCAAAAGAUUGAAGAAGCACGAGAGAAGAUACCGGACCUAAUGAGGAACAAGGCCAGAGAAAACUCUCAACAGCCAGUCUAUAUACAUUUUCUGUAUCAGCAGAAGCUGACUUGAAAAGGAAAUGUCAUGUGACCCCCUGGCCUCAAAACACUUCCCUUCCACUCAGCCGGCCGGAGGAGCUAGCAGAACAGGUGUGACCCAGGGCCCAUGAGGGAUAGGCUUUAGCCUGCCUGGAAAACAACACACAAGAUGGCCUACUGCAGCAAGCUAACUGACUUAGGGAGCCUAUUGGACUAGCUAGGUGUUGUUCUUUUUUAGAUAUUAAACUUAGAGUACAUCCUUUUGAAUUAUAUUGUUUUUGACCACACCCUUUUUGAUAUAAACUAAAUGUUCCAAACAUGUUAACAUUUUAAUUCAUAUAGAAGAUGCCCCUAUUCAGAGGGAUUUAACAGUACUUAAUGCAAACUUGUUCAUGGAAAGUGAUUUUAAGAAUUGUAUGCCAAAACUUUCAUUAGUUAAAUGUCCUCAGAAUAUAAACAUUUGAGGUUAUUAACAUUUAUAAGCUCACAAACAGGGUUGUUAUACUAUUUUAUAAUUUCUUAAUUAAAAAAAAAAAAAUAGUAUUUUUUGAUGGCACCCAACUUGUAUUCAAGGGCAUGUGUCUAAAUCGAUUGCAGGCACAAAAUAAGGAUGAUGCUGUAUAUUGUAGGACCUAUGCUACACUAUAUGAGAAUAUGAAGGAAUUGUAGUUCUUGCAUUUUUAAGAUGGAUCUUGUGUAGCACACUUGGUAACCAUGACACUUGCAUCGGCAGUGUUUGAGUUCAAUUUCUACUUGGGGUGGAAAAGGGGCAGUAUGAAAAUGUAUCCAAUUGCUACUAUUAUGCGUUGUGAACAAGAGC